rnacentral:lncRNA from 1 species
CGCCGCGGCUCCCGGCGCCGGGCCGUGCCGUGCCCUGCCGCCCCGGGCUGCGGCGGGAGCAGCUCCUGAAGCUCCGCUCUUGAACUUUUCCUACYCAGCGACUUGACGGGCUGCUCUCGCUGUCCUGUUGGCGUCUACAAGGAGAAAAUCUGGCAGGGGCUGCCUUCCCAGCAGUCCCCGAUCUGCUCCAAACAUGCUUAGAGGCAGCCUCUCUCGGAGGGAGGGGUGCGCUACAUUCGCAGUCAAAUUACAUGGCUGGCCUCUAAAGGCACUAGCUUCGGAUUUCCAAACUAAUACUCAUCUUUUAAAAGCCGAGCCAAAAAGAAAAUGCAAGGAAGGCCUCAGAUGCGGGAGACCUCGGGCCCAAUGAGCAAGUCCACGCAACAGCACGCGAGGAUUUUUAUGGAGAUGGCGGAUGGUACCGCGCAUAGUUACCGGCUUGUAUCACGGCGAGAUCGGAGCGAUCUUCCAAAAAAAUAGGGCGCUUCCUUUUAAAUGAGCAAACCUGAUGCUUGUCUGUUUGUUUGUUUGAAAGAGUUGUGCCGCUUUCCUGUUUGUAAUUUAACCGUGCACUGUUACGGGGAUGUCCGUCCGGGCGAUCGCCGCGGUGACGUUGAAUUAUGGAAAUAGUACAGGUGUUACUGCGGUGUUUGGGAAUUAAUUCUCAUUCCUUCUCUCCCCUCCUCCUUCCCGGAGUUAUUUCCUAGCCUACCCAGAUAGCUGGGAAAGGGUCCCACAUACCCCGGAGCUGUAAAUUGAGCGCUGAAAUACUUGAUCUCACUGAUUCUUUGGAGAAUUAAAUCUGGCCUCAUUUUACAGGAGGAAAAGAAGUCAAUCUCGGAGGUUUUGCGAAGAAAGGCUGUUAUUUCCUAGAGGAUAGACAUUUAAGUUGUUAAAUAUUAGUUUUUAAUUACAUAUUGUUCUUUUAUAAAAUAAUAUUUAUACUUAAGUCCGGGCAGGUAUUCAAUUGAAUUUUCAAGCCAUCAGCUAACUAUUCUUUACCCAACUGAUGGAAAACAGCCCACUGUGCAAGCGCCGCGGUAUGUUGCUUCAGCAGACGGCGCUUGAGUGUUCACGAUUGCACUUUGUGCCCGGACAAACGCCGCUGGGCUGUGCGGGGCCCCGGACUCGCCGCCCCGGGAGCCCAGGCGGGGCGCACCGCGGCCGGCCC